rnacentral:misc_RNA from 1 species
GAUGAAGAACGCAGCGAAAUGCGAUAAGUAAUGUGAAUUGCAGAAUUCAGUGAAUCAUCGACUCUUUGAACGCACAUUGCGCCCUCUGUUAUUCCGGGGGGCAUGCCUGUUCGAGCGUCAUUAUAACCACUCAAGCUCUCGCUUGGUAUUGGAGUUCGCGAUCUCGCGGCUCCUAAAAUCAGUGGCGGUGCCUGUCGGCUCUACGCGUAGUAAUACUCCUCGCGAUUGAGUCCGGUAGGUUUACUUGCCAGCAACCCCCAAUUUUUACAGGUUGACCUCGGAUCAGGUAGGGAUACCCGCUGAACUUAAGCAUAUCAAUAAGCGGAGGA